rfam:Ornithorhynchus anatinus chromosome 4, whole genome shotgun sequence.
GGCCUCUCAGGGUCACAUUUGGAGUGUUCCCUGUAUUCUACCAGUCUUGACUACAGGAAGGAGAGUCAGGUAGAGGCAUAUCCAUUCCAUUCCUAGCUUGGGCAGGGGCUAGUGAGUGGAAGGCAAUCUGCUCCAAGU